GCACAGUUUAUACCGUAGCUUGCUACACCAUAGACUGUGAGUUGCGAACGGGUGAGUAACGCGUAGGUAACCUGCCUAUUAGAGGGGGAUAACUAUUGGAAACGAUAGCUAAUACCGCAUAACAGUAUGUAACACAUGUUAGACGCUUAAAAGAUGCAAUUGCAUCGCUAGUAGAUGGACCUGCGUUGUAUUAGCUAGUAGGUAGGGUAAAGGCCUACCUAGGCAACGAUACAUAGCCGACCUGAGAGGGUGAUCGGCCACGCUGGGACUGAGACACGGCCCAGACUCCUACGGGAGGCAGCAGUAGGGAAUCUUCGGCAAUGGGGGGAACCCUGACCGAGCAACGCCGCGUGAGUGAAGAAGGUUUUCGGAUCGUAAAGCUCUGUUGUUAAGGAAGAACGAGUGUGAGAAUGGAAAGUUCAUGCUGUGACGGUAACUUAACCAGAAAGGGACGGCUAACUACGUGCCAGCAGCCGCGGUAAUACGUAGGUCCCGAGCGUUGUCCGGAUUUAUUGGGCGUAAAGCGAGCGCAGGCGGUUAGAAAAGUCUGAAGUGAAAGGCAGUGGCUCAACCAUUGUAGGCUUUGGAAACUGUUUAACUUGAGUGCAGAAGGGGAGAGUGGAAUUCCAUGUGUAGCGGUGAAAUGCGUAGAUAUAUGGAGGAAC
rnacentral:rRNA from 1 species